UUUUUUUUUUUUUUUUUUUUUUUUUUUUUUUUUGGUCUUUUUGCCAUUUCUUGGGCCGCUCUCGUGGCAUAUGGAGGUUCCCAGGCUAGGGGUCUAAUCUGCCUAUGCCAGAGCCACAGCAAAGCAGGAUCCGAGUCACGUCUGCAACCUUCACCACAGCUCACGGCAACCCACUGAGCAAGGCCAGGGAUCGAACCCACAACCUCAUGGUUCCUAGUCGGAUUUGUUAACCACUGCGCUACAAUGGGAGCUCCAAGCAUCAUCCUGUUUAAUCUCUACAGCAAUACUGUCAAGUAGGAACAGAUCUUGAUGAGAACAACACUGAGGCUCAGAGAGGGGAACAGCCUGCCUAGUACACGAAUUACACAGGAUGGAGCUGGGAUUUGAAUUUAUUAUUUAUUUAUUUAUAUAGCCAUACCAGUGGCAUAAGGAAGUUCCCAGCUAGGGGAGCUGUAGCUGCUGGCCUAUGCCCUAGCCAUUGUACCAAGGGAUCCGAGCCACAUCUGCAACCUACACACCAUAGCUCAGAGCAAUGCUGGAUCCUUAACCCACUGAGUGAGGUCAGGGAUCAAACCCACAUCCUCAUGGAGACUAUGUCAGGUUCUUAACCCGCUGAGCCAUGACAGGAACUCUGGGAUUUGAAUUUAAAUCUGACUCUAGAAGCUUCACUCUCCACCUCAUUAUGGUCUCCCCAGCCCCUGACAUGACAUUCCAGUCCCUCUCCAACAUCAGUCCCCUCACUUUCCAGCACAUUCCCCAAACACAAGUCAACCCGAUGACUUGCCGGUAGGUGAAAGGUGGCACGGUUCUUUGCUAUUCCUUCCACUGCCCAGCGGAGUCUAUUUUCCUCCUUUUGUGCCCGGGCUGAAUUGAGUGACUUGUCUGAGAGAACGUGGUAGAGGUGACAUUCCUGGACUUUGAACCGAGGUCGUAAGGAGCCCGGCAGCUUCCACUGGGGCCUCUUGAACAUUCUUUCCGGGAGCGAACCCCAAGUCACUAUGUGAGAAAUUCAGCUACCUUGAGACCAUCACACUAAAGAAUCCAUGUAUGGUCACUUCAAUUCACCAGCCUUUCCAGCAUCUCCAUCAAGAAACCAAACACACAAGUGGAGCCAUGUUGGACCCUCCAGACCAGAACAGCUGCCAGCUGAAUAUGUGACUUCCAUCAGGCCAUGUGAAACAGAAGAAAUACCCAGCUGACCCCGGUGCAAAGUCCUGACCUACAAAAUUGUAUAUGUAACAACUGGCUGUUAUUUGGAGCCAUUAAGUCUUGGGCUAGAUCGUGAGGCAACAGAGAUCACAGGGACCCUGGCUCCUACGACCCCAGCCCCUCCAGUCUCUUGCCCCUUAGUUUACUCCGUCCUGACACCUGGAAAAGUCUCUUCCCAUAUUCUGGACUAUUAUGCUCUCCAAGCAGGUCAAACAUAAAGGAAAAUAAUCAGGCUAUGUGCUGUGGUCUUCUGUUUGCCUCUCCGGGUGCACUUUCUGCCCUUCUCCCCACUGCUUUGUGCCAGGCAGCCUGACCACUAUGGAAAUACCAAGAGGCCCUCUUGCCCUUGACUUCUGGUUCAGGUUGGUUAAUAGGGGGCUCUAGCAGGAGAUCAGAAGGUGGGAGGAAGAAGAAAUCAGGGUGAUUAUUCCCAAUCCCCUGCCACCCCCUGCACAGUCUCUGGGUCCACUGUGUCUCUCUAUCAAGGUCAAGGCUCCCAGCAGGUGGCUCUCUCCUCACCAUUCCCUCUCCAGGUUCCUGCCUGCCCCUUGGGCUACUGUACUAGCCUAAACUCUAUUCUCUUGGUUUGGGUUCCCCCAAAGCAGAGCUUGAAAUAAAGAGCUGAGGAGUUCUCAUUGUGGCUCAGCAGGUUAAGAACCCGACAAGUAUCCAUGAAGAUGUAGGUUCAAUCCCUGGCCUCGCUCAGUGGGUUAAGGAUCCACAGUUGCCAAAAGCUGCAGUGUAUGUUGCAAAUGUGGCUUGGAUCCCAUGUUACUGUGGCUGUGAUGGAGGCCAGCAGCUGCAGCACUAAAAAAUAAAGAAUAAAAAAUAAGAUUUGAGCGCAAGUAGCUAAUUUGGGAAGAGAUCCUUGGAAACCUGGGAAGGGGAGGGCAGAAGUGAGCCAGGCAGUGAGAGAAGCUAAUAACCCUGGGCAGACUACCAGGCAGGAGCUCAGUCUGGGUGGGGAACUCUGAGAUGAUGUAGAUUGUGUCUCAGAGGUAACCCAGCUGAGGAGCGAGGAAGCUGCUGGGUUUAUCCACCCACUGCCCGCUGUCAGGUUGAAGGGCUGCUCCAGGAUGUUAACCUCCUGGCUCUUAGCUUGCUCAGUACACUGGCUAAGCUUGUUCCCAUAGAGCUAGAAAACACCUGCAGGAGAGAGAAAGAAAGGCUGACUCAGGUAAUAGCAGUAAGUAGCUGUUGUCACGCAGAGGUGACACUGAGGGCAUGUGGACAAUGGAGUGACAGCUACACCUACCUGCUUCUUUGUAAAUACUUUUUUUUUACAAUUAAAAAAAAUGUUCAGCUUCACCAAGAUAUAACUGACAAAUAAAAUUGUAAGAUAUUUAUUUAUUUGGUCUUUUUGUCUUUUGAGGGCCACACCUGCAACAUUUGGAGGUUCCCAGGAGCAGCCCUAGAAAAGGCAAAAAGACAAAAAAAAAAAAAAAAAAAAAAAAAAAAAAAAAAAAAAGAAUAUCCCAAUUGGAAACAGUACUCCUCAGGAGUAUUAUCUCCAGUUAAAGAAUUCCGUUGUGACAAUGAAAAUGGUAAUUUAGUACUACAGCUCUAAAUGUAAUUGUUAAACUUGUCAAGGGGAAAAGUUACAUAAUGAAAACAAUCUGGCUUUCAAGGCCGGAAGUAUUAAAGGCAAGCCCCUGUAACACAUAGAAUGUUACAAAUAUCCUGCAAACACUCAGAGAAGUAAGAGUUCUUGUUCCUGUAACAAUUCCCUGUGGGCAGGAAUUCUAUUCAGUCCUUCUGGGACUCAGGCUGAAUCUACAACACGUGGGUCUCAAGG
rnacentral:lncRNA from 9 species